rfam:Triticum aestivum genome assembly, contig: Triticum_aestivum_CS42_TGACv1_scaffold_560291_7AL
GUAGUAUUCCCUCCGUCCCAAAAUUCUUGUCUUACAUUUGUUUAGAUACAGAUGUAUCUAAAACUAAAAUGUAACUAGAUACAUCCAUAUUUAGACAAAUUUAAGACGAGAGUUUUGGGACGGAGGGAGUACAAA